AUGUCAUUAAUGGCCAUGGCUGCAGCAAAUGCUCUCCUGCUAGCUUCAAUGGCCAGAGAGAUGAUGCAGCCAGAUGAAGCAGGCCAGAAGAAGCAUCACCACAUCAGCGGAGCCACAGCCAAACAGAUGCUGGAACGUGAGGUGUAUCUGCAUGAGGAGUUGAUUCAUUUGCUGCAGGAGAUUGAGAAUAGCAUGAAUGCAGAGGAAGGCCGGCUCUUUUCUGGGUGGCUGUUUUGGACUGCUGUAGUUGCCCUGGUCCUGCUUGCUGUCGUCUGCUGGCUGGCGAGGCGAAGAAGGAAGCGUAAGAUGUCUCCUCAAUUGCUUAGAGUCUUCUGUCCUGAUCUCCCAGAAGGGAUUGCUGAGAUUCAAAUUGGAUUAAGUGUUUAUGAGAACAAUCGCACAAGGCGUAACAACUUGACUUUGGUGAAGGCUUAAGGUCUUAAGUUUGCCCAGGUUGUCUGGAUGGCAUCCCUUGCUUCCCUUUUGUCAACUGCUUCAUUCAGGUUUCAUAUAGGACUAAAGGAUUCAUAUUAAAAUUCGGGAAAGCAAGCACUGCUGUGUUGGUUUUGGCCGGUAUUCAACCCAACUCGCAUUGGUAACUUCUGCUGCAGUAGUUUUCCAUUGAGGCUGGGUAUUUUCCAGAAAGUGAGACAGAAAUGUUGACAUCUUCCAGGACGCCCCCUAGUCAUCAGCUGGUACAGCUGACUCAUCUUGUGCCUGCCUCUGUGCCUCUUCCUGUCGCCCCACCCCUGCAUCUCCCUGCACGUGUGUACGCUGCCGGCAUUGUCGGUGCUCCAGGGUGGCUCUGACCACUUGUGUGGCAUGUGCCAUGCAAGAAGCAAGAGCCAACCUGCUCCAUCCCUCCUCCCACCUAUAUCUCCAGAAACUUUGCCAGUCCCUCCUCUUCCAGGGUUUCUCACCUCUCUGCUUGUAAUUUGCCCCAUCAGGGUCCUCUCCACUCUCCAAAGCACACAACAGCCACAGCUCCCCUGCCUUUGCAAACUC
rnacentral:lncRNA from 1 species